CUGGGGCCAAGGGGCGGUCCGUACUGCUCCCGCAGAGCCAGGCCGGGCCCACACCCGCCACCCCGGACCCCGCCCUCCGACCCUCGACCCCGGACCCGCCCUCCGGUCCUAGACCCCGACCCCCACCUCCUGACCUCGGCCCUCCGGAUUCUGACUCCCUCUCCGACUCAGGGCCCCGGCCUCUGGACUCGGAUCCCGCCCUCCGACCCCCGACCCGGAUCCCGCCCUCAGAUCCCUGCCCUCGGACCUGGACCCCGACCCAGCCCUGGCUCUCCGGCUCCGGACCUUGACCCCUGACCCCGGAUCCCGCCCUCUGGUCCUGGACCUGGCCCUCCGAGCCCAGACCCCCGACCCCGCCCUCGCCCUCCGGACCCGGACCCCGGCCUUCCGCAGCCCCACCGGCCCUGCCCGGCAGAUAAAGUGGACCUUAGGCAGCUGAGGAGGCUCCCACACGAUGCGGGGACGGGGAAGAACGUGCCUUUUCCACUCUCUGGACUUUCAUUCUAGGUGUUCCAUUGGUCUUCUGAGGUGACAUGUGGACCUUUUUUCUCGUGUCAAACUAGUCUUGGGAUCUUUCAGCAUAAUCGCUACAACUAAGAUGCCAGAAAGUGAUCAAAAUAUCCCAGACAAGCUGUGGAUGGGCUGCCUGACAUGAAGGAAUCUAGCCAUUUCAGGUCCUCCUCCACCCUCGCAAUCACUCUCUACUGAGCAGUAGACCAGCUUCUUCCCCCACCGCCAAGUACGCGGGCCUCUCACUGUUGUGGCCUCUCCCAUCGCGGAGCACAGGC